ACACAUGCAAGUCGAGGGGCAGCAUGGUCUUAGCUUGCUAAGGCUGAUGGCGACCGGCGCACGGGUGAGUAACACGUAUCCAACCUGCCGUCUACUCUUGGCCAGCCUUCUGAAAGGAAGAUUAAUCCAGGAUGGGAUCAUGAGUUCACAUGUCCGCAUGAUUAAAGGUAUUUUCCGGUAGACGAUGGGGAUGCGUUCCAUUAGAUAGUAGGCGGGGUAACGGCCCACCUAGUCAACGAUGGAUAGGGGUUCUGAGAGGAAGGUCCCCCACAUUGGAACUGAGACACGGUCCAAACUCCUACGGGAGGCAGCAGUGAGGAAUAUUGGUCAAUGGGCGAUGGCCUGAACCAGCCAAGUAGCGUGAAGGAUGACUGCCCUAUGGGUUGUAAACUUCUUUUAUAAAGGAAUAAAGUCGGGUAUGCAUACCCGUUUGCAUGUACUUUAUGAAUAAGGAUCGGCUAACUCCGUGCCAGCAGCCGCGGUAAUACGGAGGAUCCGAGCGUUAUCCGGAUUUAUUGGGUUUAAAGGGAGCGUAGAUGGAUGUUUAAGUCAGUUGUGAAAGUUUGCGGCUCAACCGUAAAAUUGCAGUUGAUACUGGAUGUCUUGAGUGCAGUUGAGGCAGGCGGAAUUCGUGGUGUAGCGGUGAAAUGCUUAGAUAUCACGAAGAACUCCGAUUGCGAAGGCAGCCUGCUAAGCUGCAACUGACAUUGAGGCUCGAAAGUGUGGGUA
rnacentral:rRNA from 1 species